rnacentral:snoRNA from 1 species
AACCUUUGGUUCCCUUUCCCAUUGGAUUUCAACACAGGUGUUAGUCAUCGUAAAGGAGGGAGAGCGUGCAGAAGCUGGCCUUGCAGCCUGGUAUAAGCAUGUGGGCUACAUUCAAACGGGG